UGCAUUAUCUUUGAGGUUCUUAUC
rnacentral:siRNA from 1 species